rnacentral:rRNA from 1 species
AACGCGAAGAACCUUACCAGCUUUUGACAUGCCCGGUAUGAUCGCCAGAGAUGGCUUUCUUCCCGCAAGGGGCCGGUGCACAGGUGCUGCAUGGCUGUCGUCAGCUCGUGUCGGGAGAUGUUGGGUUAAGUCCCGCAACGAGCGCAACCCUCCCCCUUAGUUGCCAUCAUUCAGUUGGGCACUCUAGGGGGACUGCCGGUGAUAAGCCGAGAGGAAGGUGGGGAUGACGUCAAGUCCUCAUGGCCUUUACAGGCUGGGCUACACACGUGCUACAAUGGCGGUGACAAUGGGAAGCGAAAGGGCGACGGGGAGCAAAUCUCAAAAAGCCGUCUCAGUUCGGAUUGCACUCUGCAACUCGCGUGCAUGAAGGUGGAAUCGCUAGUAAUCACAAAUCACCCCGCUGCGAAGAAUACUUUCCCGGGUCUUGUACACACCG